AGCUUUGAGCAGUGGCAGUAUCGUAGCCAAUGAGGUUUAUCCGAGGUGCGAUUAUUGCUAAUUGAAAAGAGACCAUUCCUUUCACUAGCAAAUUUAC
rnacentral:snRNA from 1 species